rnacentral:rRNA from 1 species
UACGGAGGAAGCAAGCGUUAUCCGGAAUUACUGGGCGUAAAGAGUUGCGUAGGUGGCAAAGUGUGUCAGUAGUGAAAGCGUGUGGCUCAACCAUAUAAACAUUACUGAAACUGCUUAGCUAGAGGACGAGAGAGGUUAUUGGAAUUCCCAGUGUAGGAGUGAAAUCCGUAGAUAUUGGGAGGAACACCGAUGGCGUAGGCAGAUAACUGGCUCGUUCCUGACACUAAGGCACGAAAGCGUGGGGAGCAAACGGG